rnacentral:lncRNA from 1 species
CAUAAUCAUAGAAUUUUCUUUUGAUACAAAUGUAGUCCGAUUGGGCUUUUGUUAAGCUAGCGGAAGGACUAAUCAUGCGUAUACAAUUAGGCUUGAGUAAUCACAAUUAUGUAUAGAAGCAUCUUUCUAACAAUUCACAAUUUACUUAAUCGUGGAGUCAGUCCACAAGAAGUAUCAUGAUUGAAAACUCUUUAUUGCAUACUAUUUAUGAAAGCAAUUCAUCCAACUGAUUUGUUCAAUGAUGUAACACCCCAAACCCGGCCCAGAAGUUAUGGCCGGAUCCUGCAUGCCACAUCAAAAACGUAAAAAAAAAUUCCAUUCUAAGUCCAGAAAAUCGUACUUGAUGUUCAAAAGAUUAAUUCAUUAAGGGUUAAAGUGAAUGGAAGCUGUGCACUAGGUAGGAAACUGGAAAAGAGGUGGUGAGUCCAUCGGACUGCUUAAGUACCAAGCUUCCUUCAGAUCCAAUCCUAGACAUGCAUACCGCCAUUGCCACACUUUAACGUCAUGGAUAUUUC